rnacentral:misc_RNA from 1 species
UAUAAUUACAAUGCGUCAUAAAUUACAUCAUGUCACACAUGAUGUGAGACCCAACGAAUGGCAUCUCAAAAUUUGGCGUCUGCCUUGUUCACACAUAUGGUAAACACUCGAAAUACAAAUCAUAAGAUGCUUUCAUACCUCAUAAGUGCUUGGCAGAUGGUCACAAUCUUUUGUCACUGAUGAAUUAUCAACCCACAGAAGAAACUAUCAUCAUAAGCUUCAUUUUCUUCACUUAUAGACCAAAGCAUUCAACUGUCUUUCUAACUGAGCAUUUUUCAUCUUCUGUCUGUGCAAUUCCUCCACAAGGCUUCCAAUACUUUGUUGUAGAUUAAUCAACUGAGCCUGCAGCUCCCUCUCCCUAGCAGAAGCAGGUAAUAUCUGCAUGUUGCACAAGAUUAAGAUCAUUUUAUCACAAUAGCGAACUUUCCUAAAAUUGGAUACCAAUUCUAUAACAGAUGGCUGGUUAAAACAUGUCUUUCACAUCAGAUUGGUAAAUUCUUUUCAUCAAAUAUGAUCCACUGUGAAAAAUGGUCAGGGCAGCACAAUAACUCACAGGGAUAAAAAUACGAAUCAUUAUGUCCACACAUUAAUGAUGGUUGUGAUAGUGAAGAAGAAGAAUAAGAAAGAAAUAGGCUAAAUCCAUUACACAGCUCUUGAACUUUUGGAGUCUUUGCUAUUGAAAUCUCCAACCAAAGAAGUGUUCUAUUGGAUCUUUAACUAAUUGAAUUGGUGAUAUAAACAUAAUAUUGGGUAAUUAUUGAAAUUUCAGAAAUUUUUUGAUCUUUUAAUAAUCAUUCCUAACACCUACUUGUGGAAAAACUAACACAUUUUGUUAAAUACAACAAAUUCUAAACAUCAUAUGUUAGUAAACUCAACAUAUGAAGGUUUUAUUACAUGAUAUUAGAUCCUCAAUCUUUCUUGAGAAAAUUUCUGCUACUGUGGACUUGCUAUCUUUGUUUAUAUGUAGCCAAAUUAUGAAUUUUUUUUCUAUGUUAAACUAGUACUAAAUAGCACCAAAUUGAAAAAAUUUAGGGGUCAACAAAAUGUAACUUCAGUUAAAGGGCUCAAUAGCAAAAACUUCAAGGGUUCUUUAAUGCAUUUUUCCUUUUUCUUUUGAACUAUUGGGAUUGGCAUGCUAAGACAUCUAAGAAACAGUAUCAUUGUGAUGGCUGUGGGAUUUGCAGGUAUGCCUAUCUCUCUGCUUUAUAGCUUGUCUUUACAAUAAUUGGAGAAAGAACUACUCUCUUUUAGCGGCAGGCUAAAAUAUAUCAAUUCUCAAAUUGCUGGUUAUUUGGCUUUAUUUGACUAGAGGAGAACCAUUAGAACAAAUAUGUACAGUGUUUGGGCUUUGACUAGAAACAAGCACUUCCCUUUUAAUCUCCAUUUUUUUCCAUUUAAUUAUUUUGUUAAGCAAACAUUCCUGCUCCUAAGAUAUUACUUUGCAGAAGAUUGAUUAAAUUAUAAAAAAAAAACUUAAUAAACAUGGUUCAGGUUUGCCUAUGGAUAAUAAAAAGAGAUCUUUCAUCCUUGACUUUGCUUACAGGAAUAGUGAAAUUGUUUACUCCUAUGUUUCUUCCACCUAACAAAAGCAUUGUUGAUUCACUUGUGCAUCUUUUUUUUUUUUUUCC